rnacentral:rRNA from 1 species
UACGGAGGGGGCAAGCGUUAUUCGGAAUUACUGGGCGUAAAGCGCUCGUAGGCGGCCCUGCAAGUCGUAGGUGAAAGCCCUAGGCUCAACCGAGGAACUGCCUUCGAAACUGCUUGGCUUGAGUCCGGGAGGGGAGGGCGGAAUUCCCGGUGUAGCGGUGAAAUCCGUAGAUACCGGGAGGAACACCAGUGGCGAAGGCGGCCAUCUGGACGGUGACUGACGCUGAGACGCGAAAGCGUGGGGAGCAAACAGG